GACGGAGGAUGCAAGCGUUAUCCGGAAUGAUUGGGCGUAAAGCGUCCGCAGGUGGCAGUUCAAGUCUGCCGUCAAAGACCGGGGCUUAACUUCGGAAAGGCAGUGGAAACUGAACAGCUAGAGUAUGGUAGGGGCAGAGGGAAUUCCUGGUGUAGCGGUGAAAUGCGUAGAUAUCAGGAAGAACAUCGGUGGCGAAGGCGCUCUGCUGGACCAUAACUGACACUCAGGGACGAAAGCUAGGGGGGCGAAUGGG
rnacentral:rRNA from 1 species